CAUUUUUAUACGACCGCAAAAUUUUUAAUUUUUCGUCGUAUAUUGCUAUCACGUUGGCGUCGUCGUCGUCGUCCUGCGUCGUCGUCGUCCGAAUACUUUUAGUUUUCGCACUCUAACUUUAGUAAAAGUGAAUAGAAAUCUAUGAAAUUUUAACACAAGGUUUAUGACCACAAAAGGAAGGUUGGGAUUGGUUUGGAGUUUUUGAUCCCAACAUUUUAGGAAUUAGGGGCCAAAAAGGGCCCAAAUAAGCAUUUUCUUGGUUUUCGCACUAUAACUUUAGUUUAAGUAAAUAGAAAUUUAUGAAAUUUUGACACAAGGUUUAUGACCACAAAAGGAAGGUUGGGAUUGAUUUUGGGAGUUUUUGUUCCAACAGUUUAGGAAUUAGGGGCCAAAAAAGGGCCCAAAUAAGCAUUAUUCUUGGUUUUCGCACAAUAACUUUAGUAUAAGUAAAUAGAAAUCAAUGAAAUUUAAACACAAGGUUUAUGACCACAAAAG
rnacentral:lncRNA from 1 species